GCGUCAUUGGCCGAGUGGAUUAGGCAUCGGAAUUCUAGUCCGACUCACAUGGGUUCGAUUCCUAUAUGGCGCU
rnacentral:tRNA from 1 species